GUGGCAGUGUCAAUAUAGAACUUAAAAAGUUUCUUGGCCACAACCAAUCAGAUAAUGAAAAAGACGUCACAGAUUCCCUUCCUCAGCUUUCAUCCCAAGUCCAGUAUUCCCUUCAACCUGUCCAUCCCUCACCUGGUACCUUUUUAAUACCUGUCCAGAAGAUGUCUUCCCCUGUGGACUUUAAUGAGACAUGAUGUCAGCAUUGACAUGGGAAGUGGAGGAAGAUGCAGAAUCAGCUUGGGACUCAGAGGUUGAAGAGGAAAAGAACAAGCCUCAGCACAAUGAAAUGGAAACACUGGAAUGAGAAAGUAGAAAUAAAUUAACUGAAGAUAAAUUGGUUGGCUAAGUUAAUGAGCUGGUAUUUUCUGUAAAGAAUAAUCAGCACACUCAAAAUGAGGGGAAUAAAAUCUCUGGGGAAGAAAUGCCAAAAAUGAGCAUUUCUUCUUCCAAGGAAAGUUUAGCACCUGUGCACCAUCAUUUAAAGUGAUAAAAAAAUAAAUGGAGUA